rnacentral:rRNA from 1 species
CGAUAACGAACGAGACCUUAACCUGCUAAAUAGAGAUGCGAACCUGCGUUCGUAAGCUCUUCUUAGAGGGACUGACUACGUUUAGUGGUCGGAAGUUUGAGGCAAUAACAGGUCUGUGAUGCCCUUAGAUGUUCUGGGCUGCACGCGCGCUACACUGACAGAGGCAACGAGUAUACAACCUUGACCGGAAGGUCUGGGCAAUCUUUUUAAACUCUGUCGUGCCGGGGAUAGAGCAUUGCAAUUAUUGCUCUUCAACGAGGAAUUCCUAGUAAGCGCAUGUCAUCAGCGUGCGUUGAUUACGUCCCUGCCCUUUGUACACACCGCCCGUCGCUACUACCGAUUGAAUGGCU